rnacentral:lncRNA from 1 species
UGUCACCUCUCUUGCGCAUGCAGGUCACUGAUACGCAACCCGGCAGACGACCACAUCAAAGUCCUUUGCUUCCGANGCUCGUCACGGGUCGGAGGAUGGUGCCAAAAUAUGAUCUGUUGGUACAUGACCCAGGCAAGGCAGAUGCCAAAACCUAGAGGACUGGCUUCUGUUUGGGACGGGGAAAGCUUGAAGAAAUAAUUCUUCUGAACGGAGUGAAACCGUCAUGAGGUUUCAAGGUGGUAAGAAACCACUGCACAGCUGCGAACGCAUUCCUGGCAGAACAGGGCAUAGGAUUUUUGAAAAAGAGAAAGAAACACAUCUGGGUGUGUAUAUUUUUCAUUUUUUAAAUCAUUUCAUUCAUUAUUUAUGCUCCACCUUUCCAACCCUGAAGAACUCAAGGUGGCUAACAAAGCACAAAGCAUAAACAAAUCAAAAAUAGAAAUGCAAUAUAAAAUAUUUAUUAUAAAUAUGAAGCGAACAUAGUACUAGUAAUAUAAAACAAAGAACAGACACAAAUUAUAGGGUGCAAUCAAACAGGGCUUUUUGGGGCGCCUGUUUACAAGAGCACUGUCCCAUCUGUGGAUGCAGGCAAACCCCCUGCAUCACAGUUUUUAAAAUAAGCACCUAAAAAUCCUCCUACCUUGUUUCUCUUCCUCGUCAUCGCCUUCUGUGCUCGCCUCCUGUUGGCUGGUGGUGGACCAUUUUUCCAGGGCCGUGAUUGGUCAGUCAGCCAUUUCCAGGCCAUGAGCCUCCAUAUUGGCUGCAGGAUCCUCCAUAGCCUCCCACCUCAUCCACCCCAAACUGCAGCAGCCUCGAGAGUGGGGAAAUCCCAUCUGUGAAAGAGGUGAACAAAAGGAGACUUUGGGACAAGUCAAAGUGUUUUUUAAUAUUUUAUGUGCGUCCCUUGAACCUCACAUUUGCCCCGGGGGCAUCCCUAAACUUGUGUCUGAACGCACCCCUAAUGUCUGUGAAUGUGCCCUUAGGCCCAGCAAGUUCUUUGAUGUAGUUUGUUACUCUUAGCCCCUCAUUACUGAACUGACAACUGCAUUUUCAGUAACGGCCAUGCUGGCAUGUCCUCGAAAGAGUGGUAAAAUGUAACAAGACACAGGUCAAAACAGUGAGCAUUUGUCUAUACAGUCACUCAGAGCCAAAUCACUUUGUGGCCUGAUCCAACGGGACUCCUCUUAUGGACUAGAUGGGCUGUGGUCUGAUCCAGAAGGACUCCUCUUCCCUUCUUUUAUGUCCCUA